UGGGGAAUAUUGCACAAUGGGCGCAAGCCUGAUGCAGCCAUGCCGCGUGUAUGAAGAAGGCCUUCGGGUUGUAAAGUACUUUCAGUCGGGAGGAAGGUGGUAAGGUUAAUAACCUUAUCAAUUGACGUUACCGACAGAAGAAGCACCGGCUAACUCCGUGCCAGCAGCCGCGGUAAUACGGAGGGUGCAAGCGUUAAUCGGAAUUACUGGGCGUAAAGCGCACGCAGGCGGUUGAUUGAGUCAGAUGUGAAAUCCCCGGGCUUAACCCGGGAAUUGCAUCUGAUACUGGUCAGCUAGAGUCUUGUAGAGGGGGGUAGAAUUCCAUGUGUAGCGGUGAAAUGCGUAGAGAGGUGGAGGAAUACCGGUGGCGAAGGCGGCCCCCUGGACAAAGACUGACGCUCAGGUGCGAAAGCGUGGGGAGCAAACAGG
rnacentral:rRNA from 1 species